GGAGAGGUGGCAGAGUGGUCGAUUGCACUUGUCCUGAAAACAAGAGAACGUUAAUAACGUUUCCGGGGUUCAAAUCCCUGUCUCUCCG
rnacentral:tRNA from 1 species